ensembl:lncRNA
GUUUGUAGAUAUUUUGUGUAAGCAUACAGUUGGACCAGAGACCGCUGACUCCCAGCAUGCAUAUGGUCAUGACAGCCUAACACAGUAACUCAGCAUCUCCAUAGCAACCAGCCAGAAGCAGAUGAAAAGGCCCAUCCAGGUAGGGUUGCCAGAGGGGCGCUUAGAGUCCCAGGGAAUUGCUCUGAUGUUCCUGGGAGGAAGAUGAAUCUCAUGACUAGCAACUGGGCUGACUGCAGAAAAAUACUAAUUUAUGUGUGAGAGAGCCUGGUGUGAUAUCUUCAUUGUCUCUCAGCUGCCUACCUGACCAUCAAAAAAUAGAUUUUUUUUCACCUUUGACCUAGGUCAUCAUGCUAGUUGGUUAGCCUAGCUGUGCUGAGAUUUUAACAUCGUUUACUCAGAUUUCACUCAAGUUAUUUUGCACAACCAGUGGGUUUGGAAGUAAUUCUGCCCCCCCUCCUUGGGCUGUCCUGGUCUUUUGUUUCCAUGGAUUGCAGGGUUCGGCCUUAAAAGCUGAGAGAAUCAGAUAGUCGGGAAUCCUACACCCAGACCAUUGGGCCAAUAAUAUGUAGAAGCUGUUGCCUAGCCUACAACUUUGUCAUCAAGAGUGCUGGAACUGUACUAAUUCCUGGAUGGCUGAGACUUACAUCUUUCUGUGGUGCCUCGCCAUGUCUUCAAGUCACUCCCGGGGAGGUCCAUCUCCUCCUGGACCACCAGAUGUUCCUCCUGUGCCAAAGCCUGAUCAUCCCUUGGUUCCAGUUCCAGAGAAGCCUUGGCCUGAGGGACCUCCCAAACCUGAAGGCCCUCAACCACUGGGGCCCCUUAUGCCUGGAAAGCCUUGGCCAAAAGGCCCCCCUGCAUCUCCAGAUACUAGGCAACCAAGAUCUCCUCAGCCACCAGCACCUUUAGGACCUACUAGUCCAGGACCAUUUCCAGGACCAUCCAGUCCUCCAAAGCCACCCCUGCCUGAUGAUCCUUAUUUACCUUUUCCUCUGCUGCCCAUUGCACCUUGGCCACCAAUUCCUGAAUGGGACGAUUCAGAGAAACCUCCAGAAAAGCCUUCUACAGAGGAUUAACUUAUCUUCCAACAUGUUUUUCAAGCAAAUCUCUGUCUGAUACAGAACAAUACAGUAUUGUACUUUCUCCCAAAUGUAGGUAUUCCUAAAGACAUCCGAUGUCCGCAAAGGUUAUUUUGAUGCAGAAUAGUCUCUAGUGGAAAUCUUUCCAGAGUAGUUUUUGAACAUUGAGCAGAAGAAAGAAGACAAUGUAGUCACUCGAUACUUAUUACUGGUUAAGGAAACAACUCCAAAACUGGGCAGAUUCUACUUACCUGUGAGCUAAUUAACAUGUCCCGGAGCAGCGCUAAUUAACCUACUCAUUCAGUAAUAUUGCGCUUUGACUUGCGCUUGUCAUCACUGAUUUCUCUCUUUCUUUUUUGUUUAAUCCAGCUGUGUUCUUUGUAGUACAUCACUUCUUUUCUUACAAAGUGAAAGUUAAUGCUGUCUGUUACUCAUAUUAUAAAAGCUUCCAAUAAAAGAUUAGAGUUUGCCUGUAUUAAUGCA